UAGGGAAUCUUCCGCAAUGGGCGAAAGCCUGACGGAGCAACACCGCGUGAGUGAAGAAGGUCUUCGGAUCGUAAAACUCUGUUAUUAGGGAAGAACAAAUGUGUAAGUAACUAUGCACGUCUUGACGGUACCUAAUCAGAAAGCCACGGCUAACUACGUGCCAGCAGCCGCGGUAAUACGUAGGUGGCAAGCGUUAUCCGGAAUUAUUGGGCGUAAAGCGCGCGUAGGCGGUUUUUUAAGUCUGAUGUGAAAGCCCACGGCUCAACCGUGGAGGGUCAUUGGAAACUGGAAAACUUGAGUGCAGAAGAGGAAAGUGGAAUUCCAUGUGUAGCGGUGAAAUGCGCAGAGAUAUGGAGGAACACCAGUGGCGAAGGCGACUUUCUGGUCUGUAACUGACGCUGAUGUGCGAAAGCGUGGGGAUCAAACAGGAUUAGAUACCCUGGUAGUCCACGCCGUAAACGAUGAGUGCUAAGUGUUAGGGGGUUUCCGCCCCUUAGUGCUGCAGCUAACGCAUUAAGCACUCCGCCUGGGGAGUACGACCGCAAGGUUG
rnacentral:rRNA from 1 species